rnacentral:sRNA from 1 species
CCCAUGUGAACUUACCUUCUGUUGCCUCGGCAGGUCGCGCCUACCCUGUAAGACCCUACCCUGUAGAGUCUUACCCGGUAGACGCGGAUACCCCUGCCGACGGCCUACAAAACUCUGUUUACUGAUGUAAUUUCUGAAUCAAUAACUAAAUAAGUUAAAACUUUCAACAACGGAUCUCUUGGUUCUGGCAUCGAUGAAGAACGCAGCGAAAUGCGAUAAGUAAUGUGAAUUGCAGAAUUCAGUGAAUCAUCGAAUCUUUGAACGCACAUUGCGCCCAUUAGUAUUCUAGUGGGCAUGCCUGUUCGAGCGUCAUUUCAACCCUUAAGCCUCUGUUGCUUAGUGUUGGGAGCCUACAGCCCUCUGUAGCUCCCUAAAGUUAGUGGCGGAGUCGGUUCACGCUCUAGACGUAGUAAAUUUUUUAUCUCGCCUAUAGAUGGACCGGCGUCCUGCCGUAAAACCCCCUAACGGCGAGUGAAGCGGCAACAGCUCAAAUUUGAAAUCUGGCCUUCGGGUCCGAGUUGUAAUUUGUAGAGGAUGCUUUUGGCGCGGUGCCUUCCGAGUUCCCUGGAACGGGACGCCUUAGAGGGUGAGAGCCCCGUACGGUUGGACACCAAGCCUCUGUAAAGCUCCUUCGACGAGUCGAGUAGUUUGGGAAUGCUGCUCUAAAUGGGAGGUAAAUUUCUUCUAAAGCUAAAUAUUGGCCAGAGACCGAUAGCGCACAAGUAGAGUGAUCGAAAGAUGAAAAGCACUUUGAAAAGAGGGUUAAAUAGCACGUGAAAUUGUUGAAAGGGAAGCGUUUGCGACCAGACCUUUUCCUAGCGGAUCAUCCGGUGUUCUCACCGGUGCACUUUGCUAGGUUGAGGCCAGCAUCGGUUUUCGUAGGGGGAUAAAAGCUUGGGGAAUGUAGCUCCCUCGGGAGUGUUAUAGCCCCUCGCAUAAUACCUUUACGGGGACCGAGGACCGCGCUUCGGCAAGGAUGCUGGCAUAAUGGUCGUCAACGACCCGUCUUGAAACACGGACCAAGGAGUCGAACAUUUGUGCGAGUGUUAGGGUGUUAAACCCUCACGCGUAAUGAAAGUGAACGGAGGUGAGAGCCCUUACGGGUGCAUCAUCGACCGAUCCUGAUGUCUUCGGAUGGAUUUGAGUAAGAGCAUA